UGAGGGAUCCACAGACCCCGGAUCCACCGAAGCCGAGCCCUAUAUGCCGCUGCCAACCCUAGAAGUUCCAUUUAAAAGGCAACCCAUACCCUAGCCGUCAAACCGACUACUCUCCCAGCUUCAACUUCAGCCGUAGAUUCCUCAGCUCCCUCUCUCUCACCAACGGCCCCGUUAUUCCUUUCAAUAUCAGCAUCAGAACCUUCGUCUGUCCCAGAAAGGUUUCAAUGGUGGGUAUUCAAUCCCCCAUUGUCCGUCUGUCAUGUGGCCGCUUGAGUUUUGGACGGAGUAGAUCUCACACGUACGUCGCUGUGGGCCCCACAGAGCUUUGGGUUAGCAGAGAUAAGAUCUCUUCCCUCGGUUUCUCACAGGAUUGAUAUCAUUGCCUGUAAUCGUUUGAGGCGCAUCGCAACCGAUCGCGACUUCAUCCGACCGUCGGUUUCUCUUCCUUCGGGCCGUGGCUGCUGUGAUUCAACUGCAAAACAUCAAUGGCUCUGAUCAUACAAUCCAUGUAAAUCGGGCCUGGCUGUUACCUAUCAUCAUACACCCUUUUCUUCGCUUCUACUUUUAUUCAUUUUCAUCCGAUUAAAAAAAAGAUCCUCGUUUCUUCUCAUUUAUAUUUUAAAUAUUUGCAAUUUUUUUUUUUGUAAAUUUUAAUAACCGAAGGUCCUAUGGAGGAAUCGCUUUAGAACAGAUGCGCUUUCACCCAAGUUUGUCUUCGAAAAACAACGGUCUUUGAAUUCAGAUCGCCGGAUCAGAUUCUUUUAAUUCGGUUUUUUGGAUCUGAUUUUUUCGAACAUUGAUAUUAUGUAUGUAUCUAUAUCUGAAUAUCUGUAUAUAUAAUAUGUGUAUAUAUAGAGAGAGGGAGAAGGUAUCAAGUCCAGCUGGUUGUACUACAAUUUACGGUCCCACCCAUUUUAUAACUUACAAUCUAUCAUGUUUCUGCAACAUCCAUCUGUCCAAUAGGUUGCCUCGUCAUGAGGAUCAUCUCGUGCAGAAAUCAACCACAUCCAUUCAUCAAGUGGACCAGACUUGUAUUUUGCUAUUUAUCAAUGGGUAGGCACUAUUUUCUAUGGUGUGGCUGUGGCCCACCUGAUGUAUAGAUGGAGCUGACUUUCGCAUUAUGUAUGUGUAUGUAGGGAAAUGGUACUAUGAGGUCACCUAUGAGGUCGAGCUGUGUGGGCCCCACUGUGAUGUGUGUCUGACAUCCACCCCAUCAAUCAGAUGCAUCAUUCCAUGGUGGGCCACAGGCCUAAAAAUCAGGUCAAUCCAUGACUUAGGUGGGCCACACCACAGACACCAGUUAAGAUUGGUUACCCACCCAUUGUAAACUUCAUGAUUGUUUAUAGGGUCCACUAAGAUGUUGUUCAGACAUCCAGCGCAUCCAUUGUGUGUGUCCCACUUGGAUUAGGGUUUGCACCAAGUUUCAGCUGUAUCGAAAACUCAGGUAGGCACCACCAAGUGCUUUUAGAUGUUUUAGCAUAUUUUCACAUGGUUUUAGAUUGUGUGACCCACCUGAGACCUUAGUUCUGUAUACGGCUGAUUUUUGGGAUAUCCCAUAACCUGGUCCCCUACCAAAUGUACAGUGGAUGUCCCACACACAUCACAGUGGGGUCCACAUAGGUCAUAGUACCAUUUCCCGUCUAUAUCAUAUCCAUACAGAGAUAGGGGGUGAAGGUCCUUCGCCUCUCUCUCUCUCUCUCUCUAUAUAUAUAUAUAUAUAUAUGUUUUAAAUAGCUAUGCUAUGUAGCAUGUAGCUUACAUUGCAUAGCUUAGCCUUAGUGUUACGUAAUUCAUGAAAACAGCUUUAGUUGUGUGUUACAGCCUUAGUGUUACGUAAUUUGCUAAACACCACGUGGCUCACAUUACAUGUUAUUUUUCACUAUAAUAUUUAAAUCAAUUAAUGUUUUCAAUGAUUUGUUGCAUAUUCUAUUUUCAAUAAAAGUUAGUUAAUUUUUUAAAUGCUUUUAGUAAAAGUAAUCUAAGUAACAGUGUUAAAUUAGUUUCAUUGCUCUUUCUUUACUUAAUCAUUACCCUUUCCUAUUACUUUAGGUUGCACUUGGUUGCACCAAAUAUCAUGAAAUGUUGUUAAAUAUCAGUAUUAAUCAGUCUAAUUUGGUGUGUAACCAAGCACAACCUUCAUUAAAAAUCUAGAAGUAGCAUGUAGCUUACACCCUCAUGCUUCAAAGGAGUGAACACUCUUUGCUAUUUAAAACAGUGGUAUUAUAUAUAUUACACACACAGACAUCCUGUACUGGGAAUCACUAUCGGUGUACUCGUGAUUGUGUGGUCAGAAAUAGAAAUGUCCACAGCGAUGCAACAACAUAUUGGGCCUGAAUAUGCUGGUCCCUUGGGAAUUCUUCAAUCCCUAGCAGAUGUAUGUAUGUAUGUAUGUAUAUGUUAUAUAUUAUAUCCAUACAGAGAGAGAUGGCGAAGGUCCCAGCAGAGGGGUAUAGACUCGAUAGUGAGACCUCUCUAACGAUAAUAAAAACCUUCGUAGAAUGAGAUCCUUCACUUGGAUUGGCCAAUUCGUAGACGCUUGAAUGAUUUUUAGAGUAUUCAACGCGUCCAAAACCUUGGCUACAUUGCUCUUUUGGCCAUCUCUCCCAAAUUUAGGGGCAUUCUUAUCAUUUCGCGUAAAGGGUAGAGGAUGUUCACAUUUCACAAUUUGUGGUCCCAGCAGGCCAAUACCUUGGGUUGGCUGGACUUGAGACUAUCUCAUAUACAUACAUACAUGCAUAUGUAUGUAUGAUAAGCUCUACACACAUACACACAUACAUAUUCAUACAUGUAUAUGUAUAUAUGUUAUAUUAUAUCCAUGCAGAGAGAGAGAGAGAGAGGGCGAAGGUCCCAGCAGAGGGGUAUAAACUCACAGUGAGACCUCUCUAACGAUAAUAAAACCUUCGUAGAAUGAGAUCCUUCACUUGGAUUUGCCAAUUCGUAGGACGCUUGAAUGAUUUGUAGGGUUUUCAAUGCGUCCAAAAGCUUGGUUACAUUGCUUUAUCAACCAUCUCUCGCAAAAUUUGCGGCAUUCUUACCAUUUCCCAUAAAGGGUAGAGGAUGUUCACAUUUCACAAUUUGUGGUCACAGCAGAUCAAUGGUCUAGAUUGUCGGGCGAUUGGACCAACUUGAUGGAAUUAAAACGCAUGUGGUUUAUUAAUAUUUGCUAUCACUUAGCCUCAUUUGAGAACCAGGUUUGAGAACACUCUCUUCUCGAAUAGCAGCCGCUUCUAGUGUUAGGUUUUUAGUAUUUGCCUCCUUACAUGGCAAACAUGACAACUCUGUUGUCUUCUAUCCUCUAUGCAUUUUGUCUUUCUCAUAUAUAUUUUCUAUGUUAAGCUUUAAAGAGAUGCAAUGAAGAGAAAAAAAAUCUAUAGAUUGCGAGAUUCCUCGUGAGAUGUACCCGUUUCUUUGGUUCAUAUUCCCUGAGCAUCAUACACCCUUUUCUUUGUUUUUCCUUUAUUUAUUUUCUGUCUGCUGAUAGAAAAUGCUCUUUUCUUUUACCUCGCAUUUUUAUUUUUAAUUUGUUAGCCAAGUAUUCAGUUUUUUCUAACCAAAGGACCUAUGGAGGAAUUUCUUUAAGAUAGAUGUGCUUUCGGCCAAGUUUGCCUUUAAUAAACAACAUUUUCUGAAUUCAGAUUGCUGGGCCAGUUUCACACAUUCAAUUUAUUAUUAUUAUUUUUUUUUGGCUAUUUUGGCCAUUAUCGGACCAUUUUUGGGAUGUGUUACGAUUCAUCUGAUUUUUUUUUCUUCUGAAAUCAAUUGGUGGGAAUUAUUAUUUCGUGUUGAAUGUAAAUACAUCAUCCAUUUCCUGACAUCCAGAUUUUUUGCAUUUUGGUCAUUUUUCGAGCAUGAACGUUUUUUUUUUAAAAAAAAAUAAAAAAUCCCCCAACUUCGAGGAAAAUGGUGUAUAUAGAUUAGGGAUAUGCAUUCGUAGACACAAUAAGAGCACGCGUAUGCCAUCGCUAUGGUGGAUUUUCUUAUUCGAGUCAAGACACAACAUAUCCCUAGCUAUGAUUGUGAUGCGUCAUCGCCUUUCAUUAAUAUGGUAUUCCCCUUUGGUUAUGGAUAUGUGGGUCUUGUGAGAGUGCCACAACAGGAUGAUGACGAUGUUGUUUAGUAGCGACAAGCAGAAUGCGCAAUUCUUUCCAAUGGUGACUACUGCAUGCAUAAACCCUCUGCCUGAAGUCAGUAAUCCAGAUGAAGUUGUUGGGUGGGGGUGAGUAGAAGUUCCUAGAAAGGCUAUUCGCCGUCGCAACUCCCACUACUAAGAAAAGCUCUUGGAUAUUCAUGAGAGGCAUUUAUCAUAUGAUUGGUUAUGUUCAGAACUGCAUAUUUUAAUAUUAAUAGUAAUUUAAGCAUUUGUUAUCAGUGUGAUUAAAUUCCUAAUUUAAUUAUUAAAUUUCAAUUCGAGUCAAAUUGAUUA